CACAUGCUUUUUUGGCUUUCAUGCAUGCUUCUGCCUUCCUUUUGUUAUCUGCAAAAUUUGCCUUCUUGUUUCUCAUGUUUGACCAACCCCUUCCAUAAAAAGGAAAAAUGCUAAAAUAAAAACAUUUAUCGUUGUCAGCACAAACAACUUGUUAUGAAAUUUGUAGGUACCCAAUCUGCAAUAUAGAGUCACCUCUCAUCGAUUGAUUAU